UACGUAGGCAGCAAGCGUUGUUCGGAGUUACUGGGCGUAAAGGGUGCGUAGGCGGCUUUUUAAGUUUGGUGUGAAAUCUCCCGGCUCAACUGGGAGGGUGCGCCGAAUACUGAGAGGCUAGAGUGUGGGAGAGGAAAGUGGAAUUCCUGGUGUAGCGGUGAAAUGCGUAGAUAUCAGGAGGAACACCGGUGGUGUAAACGGCUUCUGGACCAUAACUGACGCUGAUGCACGAAAGCGUGGGUAGCAAACAGG
rnacentral:rRNA from 1 species